CCGACGAAACAACAUGGCGUUUUGCCAUCAUUUCCCCCACGAAACUGAUGUGUUUCGUCAUAUGGACUUCAGGCCCAGGUGGAUCCGGCCCAACGAUCUGUUAACCUUAUAAUCAUACGGCACAUCUUCUUAGCAAACCCUAACCUUCGACGUCAGACCCUUUUCUCUCGAGGCUUCCUCUUAGAUUCUAGCACCUAUCUUGCAUCUCAUAAUCUGCAUCUAAUGAUCUGGUUAGGUUUGGUUGACCAACUUGGAACGAGUACUGUAACUGUUAAAUACCGAGCAAACCAAGGUCGUUAGGUACGUGGGAACAGGAACUUGCUGGCUGGAGGGCGUGAGUGGUCAUGGUUGCAUUGAUGGGUUUAUUUAUCAAACAUUUAUUUACUAUGGAUGUUUGGAAAGUAUUUACAUUAUGUUACGAUAACGCUUCCGCUGAACUUGAUGGUUUUUGAAUUACUUAUGU
rnacentral:lncRNA from 1 species